UACGAAGGGGGCUAGCGUUGUUCGGAAUCACUGGGCGUAAAGCGCACGUAGGCGGAUCUUUAAGUCAGGGGUGAAAUCCCGAGGCUCAACCUCGGAACUGCCUUUGAUACUGGAGAUCUCGAGUCCGGGAGAGGUGAGUGGAACUGCGAGUGUAGAGGUGAAAUUCGUAGAUAUUCGCAAGAGCACCAGUGGCGAAGGCGGCUCACUGGCCCGGUACUGACGCUGAGGUGCGAAAGCGUGGGGAGCAAACCGG
rnacentral:rRNA from 1 species